rnacentral:lncRNA from 1 species
ACGGCUGCUCCCCUCCUUUCCUCCCGCCACAAGCGCUCGCUGUGGUUCUGGCAGCGAAGUGCGAGACUGGGCUCGCCAGGCGGAAGUGGUUGGAGACUGCGUGUUUUCCUAGAAAGUCCUCGACCUUCGUCGGGGAGAGGAGGGGAGUGAUAAAUUGGAAGGCGGACAAGCGACAAGUGCGGUACUGGAAAGACCCAAACAUACUUGGUUGUGACCUCAGGACUCAAUAAAAUAAACAGCUGGAAAUAAGCAGACUAGUGUAAGAGUGAAUUGAAAAGAAAACCCAAGGUCACAUCUCCCAAGAAGCAGUAAUGUUCCAGCAAUAAGAAAAGGACAGUUUUUUGUCUUUUGCAUGGUGAGCCUUAUAUGAAUUACAUCAAUUUUGUCACCAAUAUCCAUCAUCAGAACAUUUUGAUUCUACAUAACACAUUGCAAAUGGUCACAACAAUCAAGACUAUAUCCAUAGAUGUCCCAGAAAUAAUAUCUGACUAUACAGAGCAGCAUUACCAAGCCACCAAGAAGUCUGCCUAGUAAUGACAAUGAUAACAACAGCUAACACUUAAACAAAACCUUUUCCAUCAGCAAAGCAUUUUAGAACCUCAAGCUACACUGUUCCCACCUGCAACUGUCUAAGGUAUUGGAGGUCAAGGACAGUCCAAGGCCAAGUCAAGGACCAUCAGGACACAGAGGAGUAACUUCUGAGGCAGCCCCCGGUGGGAUUUGAUUUAGGACAAAUUGUUAUUUGGAUGGAUGCUUGUCUAUUGAGAGAGUAAUUGUUAAACUAAAGGAAACUGGUCACAAAUACUUUAGCAGUGGCUAUAAAUGACCAGUGGGCCAAGGAUUUUGAGAUCGUGAGAGACUUCUCCGGGAAUGUUGUCAUUCAUUUCACUCCAGUGUGGCUCUUUUCCUCCAUCUGCGCUCACUUUUCUAGGAGAACUAUGGCCACUAUGGAGAAUAUGAAAACAUUGCUGAAGGAGGUGAAAGCCAUUUCAGAAGAAGAGUUAUAUAUUAGCUUUUGGCAGUGACAGCGUUAUGGGCACGGACAUUCAGCCUUUCCAGUUGACUGCUUUGAAGGGGCAAUGUUCACGUGGAAGUAUACCUCCUAGUACGUUUGCUAAAAUAAAAUCAGCUUCAUUACCUAAUAACAUAAAUGACUUUGGGAGAAAACUCUGAGUCUCAUGUUUUAUUUUUCCUGAUAAUGCUGUUCAAUUAGGGCAGACUUUGUGGAAAUUCUGAUUUCAUUACCCAUCACUGCUGCAUGAAAAUACGCUUUCUGA